CCCCGUACGGCAUGUACGGCGCCCAGCAGCCGGCACCCGUGGGCAUUCCGGCAGCGAACCCGCCGGCCUCCACCGCGUUCGAUCCGUUUGGGCAUUUGUAAACUAUAGCAAGAACAGGAGCCGCACGUUCGCAGCGACCUCCUGGGCGGCGGGCGCCGCCACGCGACGAAGACAGCUCCAUCGGCCGCGCCGCCAGGUUGUUUUGAGAUUGUCGUCGCCGCCGUCUGUGUCGUUUGUGCUGUUGUCUCCCAUAGGCCGUCGCCGGGCGGCGGUCGCGCGCCGUAGUGGGCUGGCUGGCGGCGGGCCGGGCGCGCCGCCCGACC